rnacentral:rRNA from 1 species
AGUUUGAUUAUGGCUCAGAUUGAACGCUGGCGGGAUGCUUUACACAUGCAAGUCGAACGGCAGCACGGACUUCGGUCUGGUGGCGAGUGGCGAACGGGUGAGUAAUGUAUCGGAACGUGCUCAGUAUGGGGAUAACUACGCGAAAGCGUAGCUAAUACCGCAUACGCCCUUCGGGGGAAAGCGGGGACCUUCGGGCCUCGCACUAUUAGAGCGGCCGAUAUCGGAUUAGCUAGUUGGUGGGGUAACGGCUCACCAAGGCGACGAUCCGUAGCUGGUUUGAGAGUGACGACCAGCCACACUGGGACUGAGACACGGCCCAGACUCCUACGGAGGCAGCAGUGGGGAAUUUUGGACAAUGGGGAAACCCUGAUCCAGCCAUCCCGCGUGUGCGAUGAAGGCCUUCGGGUUGUAAAGCACUUUUGGCAGGAGUUGAAACGGCACGGGAUAAUACCCCGUGCAACUGACGGUACCUGCAGAAUAAGCACCGGCUAACUACGUGCCAGCAGCCGCGGUAAUACGUAGGGUAAGCGUUAAUCGGAAUUACUGGGCGCAAAGCGUGCGCAGGCGGUUCGGAAAGAAAGAUGUGAAAUCCAGAGCUUAACUUUGAACCGCAUUUUUGCACUACCGAGCUAGAGUGUGUCAGAGGGAGGUGGAAUUCCGCGUGUAGCAGUGAAAUGCGUAGAUAUGCGGAGGAACACCGAUGGCGAAGGCAGCCUCCUGGGAUAACACUGACGCUCGCGCACGAAAGCGUGGGGAGCAAACAGGAUUAGAUACCCUGGUAAUGUCCACGCCCUAAACGAUGUCAACUAGCUGCUGGGGCCUCUUCGGCCUGGUAGCGCAGCUAACGCGUGAAGUUGACCGCCUGGGGAGUACGGUCGCAAGAUUAAAAACUCAAAGAAUUGACGGGACCUCCGCACAAGCGGUGGAUGAUGUGGAUUAAUUCGAUGCAACGCGAAAACCUUACCUACCCUUGACAUGUCUGGAAUCCCGAAGAGAUUUGGGAGUGCUCGCAAGAGAACCGGAACACAGGUGCUGCAUGGCUGUCGUCAGCUCGUGUCGUGAGAUGUUGGGUUAAGUCCCGCAACGAGCGCAACCCUUGUCAUUAGUUGCUACGAAAGGGCACUCUAAUGAGACUGCCGGUGACAAACCGGAGGAAGGUGGGGAUGACGUCAAGUCCUCAUGGCCCUUAUGGGCAGGGCUUCACACGUCAUACAAUGGUCGGGACAGAGGUCGCCAAACCCGCGAGGGGGAGCCGUCCCCAGAAACCCGAUCGUAGUCCGGAUCGCAGUCUGCAACUCGACUGCGUGAAGUCGGAAUCGCUAGUAAUCGCGGAUCAGCAUGUCGCGGUGAAUACGUUCCCGGGUCUUGUACACACCGCCCGUCACACCAUGGGAGUGGGUUUUACCAGAAGUAGUUAGCCUAACCGUAAGGAGGGCGAUUACCACGGUAGGAUUCAUGACUGGGGUGAAGUCGUAACAAGGUAG